rnacentral:tRNA from 1 species
CGCGGGGUGGAGCAGCUCGGUAGCUCGUCGGGCUCAUAACCCGAAGGUCGUCGGUUCAAAUCCGGCCUCCGCAACCA